AAUUUUUUAAUUAUUAUUUGUGUAUUUAUUUUUGUAUAAUUUUAAUAAAAAUAAUUUUAUUAAUUUUAAGUUUUAGUAUAUUUUAUAGAAAAAAUUUUAUUUAUAAUAAUAAAUUUGUAUUGUAAAAGAUUUUUGAAAAUAAUUAUAUAAUAAUUAAUUUAAAGUAAAUUUUAUUUAUUGUACCUUGUGUAUCAGGGUUUAUUUAAAAAUUAAUAUUAAUAAAUAUUUUUCUCGAAUUUAAAAGAUCUAUUUUAAAUUAUAUAAUUUUUAUUGUUGUAAAAAUAUUUUUAAUAUUAAAAUUGUAAUGAAAUGUUAUUCGUUUUUAAAUAUAUCUAGUUUUUUAAUAAAUGAAUUUAAUUCAGAUAUUAUUUAUAAAUAUAAUUUUAAUUUUUAUUUUUUUUUUAAUAUUAAUAAAAUAGGGGAUAAGCUUUAUUUUAAAAUUUUAAAAUUUUAGUAUAAAUAAUAAAUAUAUUUAUAGGCUUAGAAAUAGUUUUUAUUUUAAAAAUGUUAUAAUUUUUAUAGAUUUAUAAAAUAAAAUUUUUAUAAUAUUUAAAAAUUUAUUAAAAUAAAUUAAAAAAUUAUAAAUUAAUUGUAAUAAUGAUAAAAUUAGUAAAUUAUUUAAUGUUAAAUUUUUAUUAAUUAAAUGAAAGUUUAAUUUAAGAAAUUCGGCAAAAAUUAUAUUCGCCUGUUUAACAAAAACAUGUCUUUUUGAAAUUUAAUUUAAAGUCUGAUCUGCUCUAUGAUUUAUUUUAAUGGCUGCAGUAUCUUGACUGUACAAAGGUAGCAUAAUAAUUAGUCUUUUAAUUAAGGACUGGAAUGAAUGAUUUGAUGAAAUAUAAACUGUCUCUUUUUAAUUAUUAAUUUAAUUUAAUUUUUAAGUUAAAAAGCUUAAAUUUUAUUAAAGGACGAGAAGACCCUAUAGAGUUUUAUAACCUUUUAAUUAUAAAAUUUAAUUAAAUUUUAUAAUUAAAAGGUUAUUUUAUUGGGGCGAUAGAAAAAUUUAUUAAACUUUUUUAUUAUUAUUACAUAAAUAAAUGAAUUUUUGAUCCUUUAUUUAGAUUAUUAGAUAAAAUUACCUUAGGGAUAACAGCGUUAUUUUUUUUAGAGUUCUUAUUUAUAAAAGAGAUUGCGACCUCGAUGUUGGAUUAAAAUUUAAUAUGGGUGUAGAAGCUCAAAAUUUAGGUCUGUUCGACCUUUGAAAUUUUACAUGAUCUGAGUUCAAACCGGUGUAAGCCAGGUUGGUUUCUAUCCUUAAUUAAUUAAAAAUUUUUAGUACGAAAGGACCAAAAUUUUAAAAUAUAUUUUAAAAUAAAUUAAUUUUAUUAAACAUAUUU
rnacentral:rRNA from 1 species